GGGCAAUUCCUCACAAUUUCAAGUGUGGGAGUAUCACUACUCCAUGAGGAAGAAACCCUACUCUGUUUAAUAUGAAUAUCGUUUGAGUUACCAUGUUGAAAUACUGAGUGUCAGUCCUACUCUUGCCAUGUUUGUGAGUCGAAUAUCUCCUUGUGCUCCUGUUGUGCUAGUAUGACUUUACUAUGAAUAAAACUAGAGAGAAUAGCAUGUUUCUUGUA